GAAGGUGAGGGUGAUCUGACUGUGACAUCUAUCACCCCAUUGAUCACCAGGGUCAACUAGGCUGAUCUGGCUGGCUAGAUGGGUGUCCCUUCCCACCGUCACUGCUCCACGUGCAUUCUCCCCAAAGAUGCGUGCUUGGUCGAAGUGGAUGACCUUCUCCGGUAGAGAAGGACCAUUCUUCAGUCAAGGGUAUACGAGAAGCUGCACUUCCCUGCAACACAGCCAAAAUUGAGUACUGCAUGUAGCAGUCUGCCUUUCUUA
ensembl:misc_RNA 7SK 7SK RNA